rnacentral:rRNA from 1 species
UAACACGUGGGUAACCUGCCUUAUAGUGGGGGAUAGCCUUUCGAAAGGAAGAUUAAUACCGCAUAAGAUUGUAGUAUCGCAUGAUAUAGCAAUUAAAGGAGCAAUCCGCUAUAAGAUGGACCCGCGUCGCAUUAGCUAGUUGGUGAGGUAAUGGCUCACCAAGGCGACGAUGCGUAGCCGACCUGAGAGGGUGAUCGGCCACAUUGGGACUGAGACACGGCCCAGACUCCUACGGGAGGCAACAUG